CCUAUUUCUAUUUCUAUUAAUGAUAUUAAAAAAAUACAUAAUUUUCAUAAAUGAGGAUCUCCUUGUAGGGUUUUUCAGAUUUUUGUUAAUUGAAACUUUCAUAGAUAUGAGUCUAUAAUGAACUUGUAUGACUUAUAAGGAACUCAAUGUUAUACUCUUAUAAUUAUAUCUGUACUACUAAGUUCUAGUGAUAGAUAGUUUUGGAUCACCUUUACCCUUUACAUGUAUGUCACUCUCCUGCAAAUAUAUCUACUUUUUACUAUGUUCCCGUUAGC
rnacentral:lncRNA from 1 species